rnacentral:rRNA from 1 species
UACGAGGGGGGCGAGCGUUGUUCGGAAUUAUUGGGCGUAAAGGGUGCGUAGGCGGUUUGGUAAGUCUUAUGUGAAAUCUACAGGCUCAACUUGUAGUCUGCAUGAGAAACUGCCGGGCUUGAGUGUGGGAGAGGUGAGUGGAAUUCCUGGUGUAGCGGUGAAAUGCGCAGAUAUCAGGAAGAACACCUAUGGCGAAGGCAGGUCUCUGGGCCACUACUGACGCUGAGGAGCGAAAGCGUGGGAGCGAACAGG